GGGCGAUCGUGAUUAUCUCACGUCUCCAAAGUGCGCUCGCGUGCGCGCCGCGCGACCCGACGGUGGCCGCUGUCCCGUUACGCGCGAGUUCGGCUUCUUUCUUCUUGAGCAGAGAAUCGUAGCCGGGGGUGUAGAGAUCUUCCAGCCAGAAGUUUAGCUCUCUUGGGUCUUCCUGAAAGAUCAGAAAACCUGAUUGUCCAGACUUCAGUUUCACACGAAUAGAAAUGUUUUAGCUAGGUCUACUACAUUGUUCAGGGUUAGUUAUAGAAAAUCAUCCAACUUUCUGCUCAGGGUUUCUUCUACACUCCUACAGUCACCGUCUGGGAUGAAUUAAGAGUCAUACCUCAGUUAUGAUCCCUGCUGCUGGGAUAUCUCACUGUGGAUCAGAUGGACAUCAUUAUCCAUGUGAACUCAAGAGCCACCAAAUUCACAAAUUUACAAAAAGGAUGUAAAACCAUGAACAGAACUCCAGUAGUAGCAGACUUUUCAUGUACUUAAGUUUUCAAAAAUAAAAUAAAAAGGUAUUUAUCCACCGUCAUGUCAUGUCAAACCUUCUGGAGUUUCUUUUUUCUUCAGAACACAAAAGUAGAUAUUUUGAAGAAUGUUGAUAAUCGAACAACCCCAUUGGGUUCAAAACUGAGCACAUUUCUCAAAAUAUCUUCUUUUGUGUUCCACUGAAGAAAGACUCACAUACACCGUGGCGUGAGGACGGUGAUCCAGACAUGAAGUGCACAAAAGCCCCCAAAAGAUGACGUCGGGCUUAUUGCCACUUGUGCUGUUCUUUUUUUUUACGUAGACACGCACGCACGCACAUACCCAUGCACGCACACACACACGCAACAUGUGUGUUCAUGUUGAAUACCUUCAUGUAGUCUCCCAGCUGUCCGUGUGCAGUGUGUCUGUCAUAUUCCUUAAUGGUCCAGGAUGGUUUGGAUUUGUUGUUCUCCUCUG